AAGUUUACGCGUUACCUAUAAAAGGAUGAUGGCUCCACGCGACCGUCGCUUCUCCAAUCCUUUUCUCUUCAGCUAAACUAUUUUCUGCGUAAGCAUCAGUUAAAAAAAAACAAUAGCUUCCCAAAUUUGACUUUUGACUUAAGCUUCAAUUUCUUGUCUCCCCUCUCUUCGGUUCUUCUUCUGGUAAGGAUCCUCACUCUUUCGUAAUUUAAUUUUUCUCCUUUUUUAUUUUGUUAAUAAUUUCCGUACAUCCAAUCUCUAAACCAUAAUCUUACAAAUCAAGAUGAUUGAGCUGUGAGAUUCUUUAAUAUAUCGCUUCUGAUACCUAGGGUUUCGAUUUCCCUGGUUUAGGGGUUUUUUUCCCUAGGCCUCGAUUGGGAUUUUUCUUUUCUCUGUUCUGUAGAACUGUUAGAUUGUAAGAACAUGGGGAAACUGUUGCGAAUUUGUACAGUUUAGUUUAAAUUUUAGCAUUCAUUUUUAGAGUGUUGGAGUCUCUUGGUUCUUCUAAAUUUCACUGUUAGAAAUGUCGUCGGCUGGUCUUGCUGUUAUUCCGGUUCGAAAUGAACAUAUGGUUCCACCUGUUCACAUGAAUCCUGAAUUGGGUCUUUGCGAAAACGAAUCAAUUUGGAUAUAUUUGG
rnacentral:lncRNA from 1 species